rnacentral:rRNA from 1 species
UACGUUGGGGGCAAGCGUUGUCCGGAAUCAUUGGGCGUAAAGAGCGUGUAGGUGGCUCGGUAAGUCCGCUGUGAAAGUCCAGGGCUCAACCCUGGAAAGCCGGUGGAAACUGUCGAGCUCGAGUCCGGAAGAGGCGAGUGGAAUUCCUGGUGUAGCGGUGAAAUGCGCAGAUAUCAGGAGGAACACCAAUGGCGAAGGCAGCUCGCUGGGACGGUACUGACACUGAGACGCGAAAGCGUGGGGAGCAAACAGG